GACGAACGCUGGCGGCGUGCUUAACACAUGCAAAUCGAGCGGAAAGGCUCCUUUGGGGGUACUCGAGCGGCGAACGGGUGAGUAACACGUGAGUAAUCUGCCUCUCACUCUGGGAUAACUGUCUGAAAGGGUGGCUAAUACCGGAUAUUCUCUCUGCAUCGCAUGGUGUGGGGUGGGAAGAUUUUUUGGUGGGAGAUGUGCUCGCGGCCUAUCAGCUUGUUGGUGGGGUAAUGGCCUACCAAGGCUUCGACGGGUAGCCGGCCUGAGAGGGUGACCGGCCACACUGGGACUGAGACACGGCCCAGACUCCUACGGGAGGCAGCAGUGGGGAAUACUGGACAAUGGGCGGAAGCCUGAUCCAGCAACGCCGCGUGAGGGAUGACGGCCUUCGGGUUGUAAACCUCUUUCAGCACAGACAAUGCGCCCUGUCGGGUGGUGACGGUAUGUGCAGAAUAAGCACCAGCCAACUACG
rnacentral:rRNA from 1 species